rnacentral:lncRNA from 1 species
AUGGGCUGCUCCAGCAGCGCCCGCAGCCGCCCCCAGGACCCCCCCAGCAGCAGCGGGGCGCCGACGAGGGCAUCAUCGGGGGAGAACUCCCCAGUUGCUGAUGGUUAUGAAACCAUAGCUGACCAAACACAGCUGGAUGCAGUGGAGGAUGUGAGCCUGGCCUCUGAGGAGCUGAAAUUGGGCGAGCACCUGCCAGGGGAAGAGUCCACAGCCGUGACUCUAGCUGUGGAGCCACAGAUCGACUCGGUCCGUGAGCGGGAAGAGCCGGAGGGCACCGAGCCGCCACGUGUAGCACCGGAGCAGAGCUCGGAGCUGCCCUCUGUGUGGCGGGAGGAGAGCACCGGGACUUCACUGCCAGCACUGAGGGACAAUGCUGGGCCACCAGCACCGGAACCGGCAGAGGACAGUGGGCUGGUGGAAAGCAGUGACAGCUUUGCGGUGGAGAUCAUCAAGAAAGUGCAUAUUGCUGAAGAGGACCACUUAAUUGAGGGUGAGACGGGAGAACAGGUGGAAACUGAGCUGCUCAGUCAAAUAGUAAGUGGAGGGCCUGAAACAAAAGAAGAGGAAACAGGAGAAGCUGUGGAUGGCGCAGCGGCGACAGAGAUAGAGACAGCUAGUAACAAAGAAUAG